rnacentral:lncRNA from 1 species
GAUGCAAAUGAUUAAACAGUUUUUAAACAGACAUUCCUACUUGAACUGUGAGGAACCAAGCGGAGUGCAAGUGUCAUUAGGCCUUGCCUUCUGGUGGGCAUGCUGAUGCGUGAUCGUGUAUGGGGAUAGUCAGCUUUGUAUUUUUGCUGUAUUUUGUUCUAGGAGAGUAGCAGAGUGUACACUAGACUAGAUCACAUCACUGUUUCUGAGCUGGAGACAAAAAAGUGAGGUGUCUAAGUAUUCCAAAUAUUUAUACUGCUAUGAAAACUAAGAGGAAGACUUUUCAAAAGUACAGAAAUGGCUUUUUCUAAACUCGAGUGUUUGUGUGCUAGUUAAUUGCUUAAUUUAAAAACAUUAUAAAAUUGGGGGACUUUCACUGAAGAAAAAGAUCUCAGAUACUAUAUUCUACUAUCAGAAUUCACCAUGGGUGAUAGUUUACAUUGCUUGUAGAUUUUCCUAAAAGCAUUCAGUGGGCUGUAGUUAACAUUGGACACGGUAGUGUAAUCAUGGUACACUGUAAUAUCCCAGACAUUAAAUAUUAGUGUGGCUAGCUGUUUCACUGGAAACAACUGUCCUCAUUGAUAGAUACCACUUUGCCAGGAAUGACAGUCUGUAUUGAAAUUCCCUUAGCUCUUAAGAAUAGCAAUCCAGAGUUUUAAAAGGAUUAAAUCUCUAAAUUCUUUACAGUUAAAAGUGUGUAUCUUGGAGGGGAAUAAGAAAAACUUUUGUAAAAAGGUAUGUGCAAAGUACACUUGUGGUAUUUUGGGGUUUAGUACCCCAGCUGAAUAAAUUAUGCUAAAUCCUAAGGUUAUCACUUGUACUUUUGGCUAAGAUUAAAUGUAAAUUCUGAGGUUAACAUAUCAUGUAUUGUCUAUAGCUGGGUGCUCAGUGGAAAUGUAAUGUGAGCCCCAAGGGUAUUAUUAUUUUCUAAGAGCAAUCUAAUUAACUUUUAAUAAUAUAUCUUAUUUAACCUAAUCUUUUAAAACACUCUUUCAACAAUAAUCAAUGUAACAAAAUUAAGGAGCCAUCUCUCUCCUUUUUCCUUUUAGAUUAGUCUUCACAAUUCACUGUGUGGCUUGCAGUCCUGCCGCCCUCCACUGCAGCCAUGUUCCAUGCUCUCAGGCUCCACAUGUGGCUAGGGCAGCAGCGCAGAUUCAUAGGGCACAAAGUAUGGAUCUGUUUAAAUUUGGGCGUGACAAAUAGACAUGAAAUUUCGGUCCUUUAAGGAUUAUUUAGAAAGAAAUCUAAUGAAGUUUUCCUUCAUUUUAAGUUAACUUUGCUCUAGAAAUGUGGGUCAACCUGAUCCAGUUUGCCAAGCAUUAUUUGAAGAAGAAAUCCUGUGCCAUGUAUAAUACCACUGGGACUGUCACAGAGUACUGACAGUGCACUAGUGGCAGUCCUCCAUCUUCACUAACGUCUGUCCUGUUUCUUCAGAAUGCUAGCUUGAGUUGCACACUUACUGUCCCUGUUUGUUUCCAUUAUUCUUGUUCUAGAAUGAUGUAUAUUGAGCAGCAGCUCUAGGUUUCUAAUCUGUGCAGCUGUCUGCCAGGACAUAGUGGUGCACCUAUUAAAUUGUGAUGAACGGCACAGAAAUAGGUUGAACCAUUUCUUUUCCCAUUAGACUUGUUUUUUUUUAACAUGUGGCCAUGUACCAAACCAGCUGUAAAUUACUGUACUUCUGUAGAAUAUGGAAACGGUGUUGUCUUUGAUGAUGUCUGAGUAAACAUUACCUCUCCUAAAACAA